CCUACGGGAGGCAGCAGUAGGGAAUAUUGCUCAAUGGGGGAAACCCUGAAGCAGCAACGCCGCGUGGAGGAUGAAGGUUUUCGGAUUGUAAACUCCUUUUGUUAGAGAAGAUAAUGACGGUAUCUAACGAAUAAGCACCGGCUAACUCCGUGCCAGCAGCCGCGGUAAUACGGAGGGUGCAAGCGUUACUCGGAAUCACUGGGCGUAAAGAGCGCGUAGGCGGGAUAGCAAGUCAGAUGUGAAAUCCUAUGGCUUAACCAUAGAACUGCAUUUGAAACUGUUAUUCUAGAGUAUGGGAGAGGUAGGUGGAAUUCUUGGUGUAGGGGUAAAAUGCGUAGAGAUCAAGAGGAAGACUCAUUGCGAAGGCGACCUGCUAGAACAUAACUGACGCUGAUGCGCGAAAGCGUGGGGAGCAAACAGGAUUAGAUACCCUAGUAGUC
rnacentral:rRNA from 1 species